GUAGGUGGCAAGCGUUGUCCGGAAUUAUUGGGCGUAAAGCGCGCGCAGGCGGUUCUUUAAGUCUGGUGUGAAAGCCCACGGCUCAACCGUGGAGGGUCAUUGGAAACUGGAGAACUUGAGUACAGAAGAGGAAAGCGGAAUUCCACGUGUAGCGGUGGAAUGCGUAGAGAUGUGGAGGAACACCAGUGGCGAAGGCGGCUUUCUGGUCUGUAACUGACGCUGAGGCGCGAAAGCGUGGGGAGCAAACAGGGAUUAGAUACCCUGGUAGUCCACGCCGUAAACGAUGAGUGCUAAGUGUUAGGGGGUUUCCCGCCCCUUAGUGCUGCAGCUAACGCAUUAAGCACUCCGCCUGGGGAGUACGGCCGCAAGGCUG
rnacentral:rRNA from 1 species